rnacentral:lncRNA from 1 species
UUCUGCUAUUAGUGGGUGUCCUCUCUUCCUUUCUUCCUGGCACCAGGCAGGUCUACUGAGCUCACACCCUACAUCACAUCCAAGUAUAUUCCCUCCCUCAAGUUCAGCCUGUUUCCUUCCAGUGUGGCCAGAGGCACCAGGGCUGUCGCAUGCAGUGGCCUGAUAAAUGGCCAUCUGCUGUGGCCUCUUUCCCUGCAGCAGCCUUGCAUCUCCCCUUCCUUCUCCUCUUUACCCCCCAGCAAUAUUUGCAAAUAAAUUUCCACCUAGCUUCGGAGGCCUGGUGCCUUGAAAUCCAAUGGCUCACCUUUCUGAGGCUCCCCCUGAGCAGGGCUCCAUUGCUCCUCUCUGAGUUCCUCGGGUACUUUCCUGUGCCCCUUGCCUGCCCUCUCCAUGGUCUGCCUGCAUCUCCAUUGUAUCUGUGCAUGGGCAGAGGUUAGCGGUGGUCCAGAACCAGACCUGGUGAGCAGUGGAGCUGGGAUGUGAACCUCACUUUCCUUGCCUCAAAGACUUUGCUGUGAUGAAUCCCCAGGCACUUCCCUCCUGUCAAUUUCUGACCCUCCCCACUUUCACAUCAACCUCCUCUCCAUUGCCCACAGCACAUGGCUUUUGUGUAUAGUAGGCUCCCAAUAAACCUCUAGAAUAUACAGCACCUCUGCCUCUCUCCUAAAAAGUCAUCUUUUUAAAGGGACUAUUCAAUUGACACUUGUUUCACAGAUAACCAAAGCACUAAAGGCUGUACUGGUACCUCCCUUCUGUGUCCUAAAUGUUUUGUGGUAGCCUUUAUUUCCCUGUUAAACAUAAAUAUUGAUUUGGGAUCCUUGUGCCAAAAAGUUCUUUAUCACGUCUUCCCAUUUCCAUGGAUCUUUCUCAGGGCGGCUUCUCCUCACAUUCAUAGUAUUUAUAAGUGGGUUGAUUUUAAAGCUAAUUAAAUAUUAUUUCAUGUUAUUUCUUAUCUGAUCCUCAGGUUUUAUGCAUUUCCAUAAUGUUUAUUUCCCAAUGGUAACUGUUC